UUUUUAGGGACUUGAACAGACAUAAAUCCGAUUAUGGGUCAAAAAAAAAAAAAAAAAAAAAAAAAAAAGGCUGUGGAAUAAACAUUUCUCUUUAUUCUCCUCUUACAAGUGGUUUUCUUAUUCUAUUAAACACUAAUGCAGAUCAAAAUCUAGUGUUGCAAUGGAUUUAAAUGGGGAAGCAUUACUAUAUGCUUCCAUAAAAUGAGUUGUCUUCAAAAGAUAUUACUGAGUAGAAAUUGAUAAACAGACUUUUUUUUUUUUUUUUUUUUUUUUUUAAUAAGAAUUUAAUCCUUCUUUUGGGAAGACUGAAUAACAUAGGGUGGUUCUGUACAGCUGCUGUCACAAAGCAAAGAACAAAACACGUCAGACUACAGAUUGCUGUUGCUCUGCUCACGACAGCAGUAGAUAAAAUGAUGGCUGGGCACAGACAUUACAAUUUAGCAACAUGAACUGCUUCUUCUCUGAUGGAGGAUCAGGCUGUUCUGGCAGAAGGCUGUGAACUCUUCUGUGACACCAAACUUGUCCAUGUUCCCACAUUCCUGUGGGGAGGAAGAGGACCCAGCUCCAGUCCUGUCCUGCUCCUGCCCCCAGGCUUUGCAAAAAGCCCAGAGAGCCUUGCACAAGAUUACGUAAGAGGGUCAGCCUGUAUCUUCUAAUCCAUCACCUAUACCCUAAUUAUGUUCCCCUGCAAAAGUUUUCUAAAGAACCAAAUAUUUGCUUUCUUGCCAUUUUCAGGUAAUU
ensembl:lncRNA